GAGGAUAUAGAGAUAAUAUACUUGUAUUUUCAAUAUAGUAAAUGUAUAGUUGUUUCUGGUGCAUAAAAGUUAUAAAGUUUUAUUGCUAGAAACAGUGUAAAAUCUUUUUUUUUGUUUUUUUCUAGAAACUGAGCUUCAGCUUUAUUUCCUGGUACAUAUUCCUCCACAUUUGUGUCUUCCUCAAAAUUCAGUAUGAGGACUGUGUUUCAUGCUGUAGUUAGGGUCUCUGGCCAUGCAGUGCCAACUCAACACAGUAAACGGGGAUACUUUUUUCGAAAGUUGACAGCACAGUGAGACCUCCAAGGAAGGAGAUGCCAAGUAGUGCUUCAAAGCUUCGGACCACAAUCAAACACAGCAUCCUUUUCAACAGAAGCAGAAGCUCAUCUGAAUAUGCUCAUGGAUGCUGACAUCAACAUUUAAUCAUCUCCUCACUCAUCCAGGAAUAGGGGGAGAUCAGUUACUACUGUACUUUAUUGUGUUCAACCAAAUCACCAUGUUACAAAAAUAGCAAGCUGCCAUAAUAAAAAAUAAGGCUCCUCUAUCCAGCACCAGAUAGCAUCAUUUUACUUUCAAGCCUAGAAAUUGCACACUUUUAUAUAAACCAAUCGAAGAUGAGGAUUGAGAGUUCAUCUUGGUGGAUUUUUCCUUUGAUGAAUAUGAAGUGUCCUUCCUUAUCUUUUUUGAUGACUUUUAAUUGAAAAUUGAUUUUAUUUGAUAUUAGAAUGGCUACUCCAGCUUGCUUCUUCUGACCAUUUGCUUGGAAAGUUGUUUUCCAGCCUUUCACUCUGAGGUAGUGUCUGUCUUUGUCUCUGAGCUGUGUUUCCUGUAGGCAGCAGAAUGCAGGGUCCUCAUUGCGUAUCCAGUUUGUUAAUCUAUGUCUUUUUAUUGGGGAGUUGAGGCCAUUGAUGUUGAGAGAUAUUAAGGAAUAGUGAUUAUUGCUUCCUGUUGUAUUCAUAUUUGGAUGUGAGGUUAUGUUUGUGUGCUUUCAUUCUCUUUGUUUUGUUGCCAAGACGAUUAGUUUCUUGCUUCUUCUAGGGUAUAGCUUGCCUCCUUAUGUUGGGCUUUACCCUUUAUUAUCCUUUGUAGUGCUGGAUUUGUAGAAAGAUAUUGUGUAAAUUUAGUUUUGUCAUGGAAUAUCUUGGUUUCUCCAUCUAUGUUAAUUGAGAGUUUUGCAGGAUACAGUAACCU